AUACGUAGGGGGCAAGCGUUAUCCGGAAUGAUUGGGCGUAAAGGGCGUGUAGGCGGAGAUGCAAGUCAGGAGUGAAAUCUAGGGGCUCAACCCCUAAACUGCUUUUGAAACUGUAUCCCUUGAGUAUCGGAGAGGCAGGCGGAAUUCCUAGUGUAGCGGUGAAAUGCGUAGAUAUUAGGAGGAACACCAGUGGCGAAGGCGGCCUGCUGGACGACAACUGACGCUGAGGCGCGAAAGCGUGGGGAGCAAACAGGAUUAGAUACCCUGGUAGUCCACGCUGUAAACGAUGAAUACUAGGUGUGGGGGGACUGACCCCCUCCGUGCCGCAGUUAACACAAUAAGUAUUCCACCUGGGGAGUACGAUCGCAAGAUUGAAACUCAAAGGAAUUGGCGGG
rnacentral:rRNA from 1 species